rnacentral:rRNA from 1 species
UACGUAGGGUGCAAGCGUUAAUCGGAAUUACUGGGCGUAAAGCGGUGCGCAGGCGGUUGUGCAAGACAGAUGUGAAAUCCCCCGGGCUUAACCUGGGGAAUUGCAUUUGUGACUGCACGGCUAGAGUGUGUCAGAGGGGGGUAGAAUUCCACGUGUAGCAGUGAAAUGCGUAGAUAUGUGGAGGAAUACCGAUGGCGAAGGCAGCCCCCUGGGAUAACACUGACGCUCAUGCACGAAAGCGUGGGGAGCAAACAGG